rnacentral:tRNA from 1 species
GGCCCUAGUAGCUCAACGCCAGAGCAGCUGCAUCGUUCGCAGCCGAUCCAGGUUCAAGUCCUAGGCAGGGCCUCCA